rnacentral:rRNA from 1 species
AGUGAACGCUGGCGGCGUGCUUAACACAUGCAAGUCGAACGAAGUGGCGCACGGGUGAGUAAUAUAUAGGUAAUCUGCCCUCCACAGAGGAACAACAGUUGGAAACGACUGCUAAUACCUCAUAGUGUAGGAUGAGGCUAUAUCGUGUCAGCUAGUUGGUAAGGGAAUGGCUUACCAAGGCUAUGACGCGUAACUGGUGUGAGAGGAUGAUCAGUAACAUUGGAACUGAGACACGGUCGAAACUCCUACGGGAGGCAGCAGUAAGGAAGAAUGCGCAAUGGGGGAAACCCUGACGGGGCAUGGCCGCUUGGGGGAUGAAAAUUUUCGGAGCGAAAACACCAUUUAUCAGGAAAGCGGUACCUGAUGAAUAAGCACCGGCUAACUCCGUGCCAGCAGCCGCGGUAAUUC